rnacentral:tRNA from 1 species
GGGGAUUUAGCUCAGUUGUAGAGCGCUUGCCUAGCAAGCACAAGACCCUGGGUUCGGUCCCCAGCUCCG